rnacentral:rRNA from 1 species
UACGUAGGGUGCGAGCGUUAAUCGGAAUUACUGGGCGUAAAGCGUGCGCAGGCGGUUUUGUAAGCCAGAUGUGAAAUCCCCGGGCUCAACCUGGGAAUGGCAUUUGGGACUGCAAGGCUCGAGUUUGGCAGAGGAGACUGGAAUUCCUGGUGUAGCAGUGAAAUGCGUAGAUAUCAGGAGGAAUACCGAUGGCGAAGGCAGGUCUCUGGGCUGAAACUGACGCUCACGCACGAAAGCGUGGGGAGCAAACAGG